UGGUGGACCCGGCCGGGCAGGUGUUGCCGCGAACAGGGUCAUGCUUGUCGCGUACUCGCUCGAUCACCGUGUCGGGCUUCAUGGGCAGCUCUUGAUUGGGAUCUCUGAGGUAAGAAGGGAGGGAGGUAGGUAGGGAGGGAGGUAGGGAGCGCAUGGCGGUGAGGUUAAGGUCAGGGAGAAGAACGGUAUCUUCGAAGUUUCCUCCUUCUCAAGUUACAAGUUACAAGUUCCGCACACAGGUGCGGGUGUGUCCGUAAAAGCCGGGGGGCCAUAGAGCGGGUACGCGGGAGGCCAUCAUCAUCCUUGUCUAAAUGAAUAAACGAACGAAUCAUUUAUUGAACGAUUUUUGCACCUUAACAUUAUUUCCUUGGCAAGAACAGUAUAACAUGAAGACCCUGAGAGCAGGGACUUCCUCGGGUAGGUGCCUCGUGUACGUCGUACAUACACAACACGAAUCAUGCCCUGGAAAUGCCCAUCUCCAUCAGCCACACCUUCGUCGCCUCCCAUUUCCCCCCCUCGUGCCUCCUGCACGGGUCCCCUUCAACCUCCCCCCCCCGCUCUUCUGGCUCGAGAUACUCACGUGAGCAUCAGAUCCUGUAUAUCGCAAGUUACGGGAUCAAUUGUACGGCCCGUACAGAAGAACCCUGCCGGACACUCGUACAUCUCCGCCGGCGUGGGGCAAAAGUAGCC
rnacentral:lncRNA from 1 species